UAAACAGCCCUUUUCAGGGCUACAAAUUAAAUAAAUUAUCAAUAAAU
rfam:Beta vulgaris subsp. vulgaris contig123208.1, whole genome shotgun sequence.